UACGGGGGGGGCAAGCGUUGUUCGGAAUUACUGGGCGUAAAGGGCUCGUAGGCGGCCAACUAAGUCAAACGUGAAAUCCCCGGGCUCAACCCGGGAACUGCGUCCGAUACUGGAAGGCUUGAAUCCGGGAGAGGGAUGCGGAAUUCCAGGUGUAGCGGUGAAAUGCGUAGAUAUCUGGAGGAACACCGGUGGCGAAGGCGGCAUCCUGGACCGGCAUUGACGCUGAGGCGCGAAAGCUAGGGGAGCAAACGGG
rnacentral:rRNA from 1 species